GGAUGAAAAAUUAGCUCUAUCAGAUGAAUUUUACAUGGCACUUGCCUUAAAGUUGGAAGAUGCUUCAUACAUCCUUUGCUAACGAGACAAGAGAUCCAAAGUCACCUGUACAGCAGAAUGAAACUUCUCUUUUUCUGGGCUUCUGCACUUGAAUGAGCAGCCUUUCUGCCAGUGGCAGCUCUCUGAAACUCACCUUAAAGAGGUGAUCCAAGGAUCUCCAUUCAAGGGCCUGAUACAACUUCAGUUUUGUAAUGGUGUAA